rnacentral:rRNA from 1 species
UACGGGGGGGGCAAGCGUUGUUCGGAAUUACUGGGCGUAAAGGGCUCGUAGGUGGCCAACUAAGUCAGACGUGAAAUCCCUCGGCUUAACCGGGGAACUGCGUCUGAUACUGGAUGGCUUGAGUUCGGGAGAGGGAUGCGGAAUUCCAGGUGUAGCGGUGAAAUGCGUAGAUAUCUGGAGGAACACCGGUGGCGAAGGCGCACAUCUGGCCCGAUACUGACCGCUGAGGCGCGAAAGCUAGGGGAGCAAACGGG